UGGGGAAUCUUCCGCAAUGGACGAAAGUCUGACGGAGCAACGCCGCGUGAGUGAUGACGGCCUUCGGGUUGUAAAGCUCUGUUAAUCGGGACGAAUGGUUCUUGUGCGAAUAGUGCGAGGAUUUGACGGUACCGGAAUAGAAAGCCACGGCUAACUACGUGCCAGCAGCCGCGGUAAUACGUAGGUGGCAAGCGUUGUCCGGAAGUAUUGGGCGUAAAGCGCGCGCAGGCGGAUUGGUCAGUCUGUCUUAAAAGUUCGGGGCUUAACCCCGUGAUGAGAUGGAAACUGCCAAUCUAGAGUAUCGGAGAGGAAAGUGGAAUGCCUAGUGUAGCGGUGAAAUGCGUAGAUAUUAUGAAGAACACCAGUGGCGAAGGCGACUUUCUGGACGAAAACUGACGCUGAGGCGCGAAAGCCAGGGGAGCGAACGGG
rnacentral:rRNA from 1 species